AUGAGGAACCACUUUCACCAUUUGUGUGUGCCUAAAUUGCAGGUAUUUAUCUCUUUGUUUUGUUUUCUGGGCAUCAACCCCUUUUUAACAGUGUGUAAGGCUGACUGCCAGAAGAGAGCAGAAGGAAGGGAUGAACAAGAUGGGAAGAGAGAACAACAUGAAAAGAAGACGGUUUCCUCUGCUUUUCACCAUUUUCCCCAGCUCCGUCUGAUGAAGUCCUUAGAGAUCUCUACCCAGGGUGAAGUUCGUACAGAAAUGGGACUGGUGUGGAAAUAGUUACUGCUCAUCACUGCCUUCACAAUAAUUGUGUCCACCACAGCGUUCUGAUUUAAUUCUCAUUGUUUAAAUUGCUGCAUAUCUAUUUUGGGAUCAUCAAAUGACAACCAGAUUCAGAAGAUGCCAUUACCUACUAACAAAGUCCCACAAAUGAAGCAAGGGAACAAACAUAUUAUUGCAUUGCUGAGGGUUUCAGAAAAACUAGAGAUAGUCUUGAUCUGGUCAAUGAAAUAGAUAAAUUACCUUUGUGUCUCCCCUUCAAAAAUGUAUUCACAGAUAUUCUUUUACUGAGGCAUUUACACAGCUGAAUCUUUAAAAGGCUGGCAUCAGAAGCAACUGCUUAAUUUGCCCCUCAGAUUAGGUUAGCCCUGUAGGCACCAGAUUUCUUCAGUACUUGCACAUUUCAUGACUGAGUCAGAGAACAUCUUUGUAGCAUUUGGGAACCUACACCCAGUUGGUAAAGGCAGGGCAGGAAGCCAGCCUAAGCCAUUAAAAAUGCCUUGAAUGAAAUGGUGUUUUAAUACAUUAUUAAGAAAUGAUCAGAGCAGUCAUUGCAGGGAGGAAAAAAAGAAGACAUAUAAAAGGUUCUUAUCAGAGAAUAAACCAGUCAAGCUGAACAUGGAGGGCUGCAUAUGUGAUUGCUUUCCAGCUAAGCAGAUCAGCCAAGGAAGUCCUCUACCGACACAUACAGCUCAAAAUGUCAAGCUGAUUGCUAGAGCUUUCAUGUCAAUUUACAUAAAUUAUCCAUAAAGCUCUCAUAUUUUAUUUCUAAAAAUUAUGUUUGCCAGUAUUCAUAAUCUAAUUAAGUGAGAAUAUAGUAGUGGUUACAGUUGAUUGCAUCUUUUGAAAAUGUAGUCUAUCAAUUCUACAUGACAAUGAGAGACAGUAAUUCCAGUCAAUUCCACAUUUUUCUCUCUAAUCCUUGUUCAGCAGAUAUAAGCAAAGCAGUCACUGUUCUCAUCAUCUUGCAAAGGUGGACUGAAAACCCCAGAUAAUGUAACAUUGCCCACUUUCUCUAUUUCUAACAGUUGCUAUAACUAUUGACUGUUCGUGAAUUGCAUAAACUAUUCAGCCUCUUGGAAGCCGAGGAAAACAAUAACCCACAGAAUCAAAACCUAAUGCUCUCAUUCACUUAUUAGCUUUAAUGAGCCGUAAGGAAUUUCAUCACUUAAAGAACAAUUCCUUCACUUCUGAAGGGGAAUCAGAAACUUCUUGCUUAUGGGUUGUUAGAUGUUGUGGGCCACCAUCUCUGUAUGAAGAGAGGAAGGUCUCAAAGUGAAAAGUGUCCUACCCCCAGAUCCCUUUUUUAUUAUACCUAAAUAAAGUUCUGUGUCUGUUCUGAACUCACUGUUGUUUCUUCCAUGGUUACAAAGGCUGAAAUAAGAUGUAAAUGGUAACAUGCAACUAAUGCUUGGCUUUGGGAGUGAAAUUUAAGGCCCCACAACCUGGAGUGGUUGAAAUAACUGCUAAGUCAAUGACAGGGACCUGGCAUGUGCCAGAUGUGGGAUGAGAUGAGGGCUAAACACUUCAGAUAUGGAUUGAUGGACAGAUAUUUCAUAGUCUGAAUGUUGUGUGAUUUCAGCUCCCCUAAAUCAUGAUGUUCCAAAGCCUGAAGUGCUAAACAGCCAGAAGAUCAAAUCAGGACACAGAUGGGAAUGAAGGCAAAAGCAGAGGUUUUUAUUCUUCCUGACCAGAAAGAUUAUCAGCAGAGCUAGUGUUCAAAGUACUUGACAUACCCCAACGGUGAACACAUGGGCUUAUAUAUAGUACAUUUGACAAAAAGAAGAAGCAGUACAGAACAACUGAAAAUUGCCACACUGUUUUCCAAUUGGCCCUGUAGGGUGUUGGCUAGGACCCGCAGCCCCAUUGGUGGAGGUGUGAAUUGGCACGGAGGACCUCAUCAAUGUGAUGAAAUCCUAAGAAUCAACUGAAUCUAUGUGUGGAGUUACCAUUCAACAAUUGAUUAAACAAGUAUGACUCCUCAGCCCAGAAACUCAAUUAAUGAUUUGAACAAGUCACAUUUGUUUAAUAAUAAUAAUAAUAAUAAUAAUAAUAAUAAUAAUAAUAAUAAUAAUUUAUUUUUCUAUCCUGCCAUCAUCUCCCCAAAGGGACUCGGGGUGGCUAACAUGGGGGCCAAGCCCAAAACAGAAACAAAAUAUGACAGUUAAAACCAAUGUAAGUAAGUAAAAACAAUAUCAGCAUAACACUCAGAUAUAACAGACAAAUUAAAAACACAAAAUACAAAAACAGCAUAAUGACCCGAUAGGGAAGGUAGUGAAAACAUCAUCACCAUCAAUGGAUAAAAUGGGGGCAUUGAGAAAUGCAAUGGCAAAAUUGUCUUAAUAAACCUUGCUAAGAUCAUGCCAUGAUAGAGCAAUUAUUAGUCAUAACUAAACACACACACAAUGGCAAACAUGAACAAAGCAACAGGACUCCAGGCAUAUAUUCCACAGUUUUGGAUAGUUCCAAUGCCUUUCAUUGUAGCACUUUAUUCAUGGUUCUUUUACAUCCCCUAGUACAUAACAGAACAAUAAGCAAACCCAUUGGUAGUUACCAAUUAAUUGCAUAAUGCUAAGUAUGCUGUUGAAGUAUGGUGUAGCAUUACCAAAAUGUAACCAUGUGAGUGUAGAAUUAUGUGAUGCAAACACAAUGUGGGACCUUGGCCUAUUUUUGUUGGAUUCUUUAGGAAUGUUGAAAUAAGGAAUGGCAAUGUUCUGCAGGGUGACUGGGAAUAGAGACUGACAGUUAUGUGGAGUAAUGGAUAUGACUGUCUCAGUUGGAAACACUUUUGAACAAUAAAGUAUAGGAUCUAAAAUUGGUUAGCUGCAUCAUUAAUUGAUUGACACAACAUGGCUUAAGAUAAAUUGGGUCCAAAGCUCCUUAAUACCUCAUCCAUGCCAUUUAAUUUGGGAGGCAGAAUCCCACAAGCCACAGUCAAAAUAAGUAUUUAAAGCACUCUGCCUCAAUUUUCCAGAUACUUUUGUCUACAACUUCCAUGAUCCCUAGACCAUGUUAGCAGUGGUUAUGGCCAGAAUGGCAAAAGAAGAAUUAAUUUUACAAAAAAAGAAAGCAAUUGUUCCACAGUAGUGCAGUAUAGUCUUUUGUAUUCAAGAGAUGACAUAGAUAAAAUUUUGGAGCCACAUUUUAUGUAUUUGCUCAAUUAUUUGUCCAUUAUUUAGUCAAUUUG
rnacentral:lncRNA from 1 species